rnacentral:rRNA from 1 species
GACGAACGCUGGCGGCGUGCUUAACACAUGCAAGUCGAACGGAGAGCGAUGGAAGCUUGCUGCUAUCAAUCUUGGUGGCGAACGGGUGAGUAACGCGUAAUCAACCUUCGCUUCAGGGGUGGACAACAGUAGGAAACGACUGCUAAUACCGCAUACGAUCUAUUCUCGGCAUCGGGGAUAGAUGAAAGGUGGCCGCUACAUGUAAGCUAUCACUGCAGGAGGGGAGUGCGGCUGAUUCGCUAGUUGGCGGGGUAACGGCCCACCAAGGCGAUGAUCAGUAGCCGGUCUGAGAGGAUGAACGGCCACAUUGGGACUGAGACACGGCCCAGACUCCUACGGGAGGCAGCAGUGGGGAAUCUUCCGCAAUGGACGAAAGUCUGACGGAGCAACGCCGCGUGAGCGAUGACGGCCUUCGGGUUGUAAAGCUCUGUUAAUCGGGACGAAAGGCCUUCUUGCGAAUAGUGAGAAGGAUUGACGGUACCGGAAUAGAAAGCCACGGCUAACUACGUG